CGGUAGUAUAGUGGUGAGUAUCCCCGCCUGUCACGCGGGAAACCGGGGUUCGAUUCAGUGGCGUAACGUACACCCCCGCAUCGCGG